rnacentral:rRNA from 1 species
GAAUCUGCCCUCAGGAGGGGGAUAACGGUUGGAAACGACCGCUAAUACCCCAUAUGCCUACUGGUGAAAUGAAUUUCGCCUGAGGAUGAGCUCGCGUCUGAUUAGCUAGUUGGUGAGGUAAUGGCUCACCAAGGCUUCGAUCAGUAGCUGGUCUGAGAGGAUGAUCAGCCACACUGGGACUGAGACACGGCCCAGACUCCUACGGGAGGCAGCAGUGGGGAAUUUUCCGCAAUGGGCGAAAGCCUGACGGAGCAACGCCGCGUGAGGGACGAAGGCCUCUGGGCUGUAAACCUCUUUCUCAAGGAAGAAGAUAUGACGGUACUUGAGGAAUAAGCCACGGCUAAUUCCGUGCCAGCAGCCGCGGUAAUACGGGAGUGGCAAGCGUUAUCCGGAAUUAUUGGGCGUAAAGCGUCCGCAGGCGGCUUUUCAAGUCUGCUGUUAAAGCGUGGAGCUUAACUCCAUCAUGGCAGUGGAAACUGAAAGGCUUGAGUAUGGUAGGGGCAGAGGGAAUUCCCGGUGUAGCGGUGAAAUGCGUAGAUAUCGGGAAGAACACCAGUGGCGAAGGCGCUCUGCUGGGCCAUUACUGACGCUCAUGGACGAAAGCCAGGGGAGCGAAAGGGAUUAGAUACCCCUGUAGUCCUGGCCGUAAACGAUGAACACUAGGUGUCGGGGGAAUCGACCCCUUCGGUGUCGUAGCUAACGCGUUAAGUGUUCCGCCUGGGGAGUACGCACGCAAGUGUGAAACUCAAAGGAAUUGACGGGGGCCCGCACAAGCGGUGGAGUAUGUGGUUUAAUUCGAUGCAACGCGAAGAACCUUACCAGGGUUUGACAUCCUGCGAACCUCUUAGAAAUUUGAGGGUGCCUUCGGGAAUGCAGUGACAGGUGGUGCAUGGCUGUCGUCAGCUCGUGUCGUGAGAUGUUGGGUUAAGUCCCGCAACGAGCGCAACCCACGUUUUUAGUUGCCAGCAUUUAGUUGGGCACUCUAGAAAGACCGCCGGUGAUAAACCGGAGGAAGGUGUGGAUGACGUCAAGUCAUCAUGCCCCUUACACCCUGGGCUACACACGUACUACAAUGCUACGGACAAAGGGCAGCAAACUCGCGAGAGCUAGCAAAUCCCAUAAACCGUGGCUCAGUUCAGAUCGUAG